CAACGCCUUAUCACCCGCAAGGUGAUCCUCAGCCAGAGAGGUUCAACCGAACCCUAUUAGAUAUGUUGGGGACUUUGCAGCCAGAGCAGAAGGCAACCUGGACCCAACAUGUCGCAUUUCUGGUGUACGUCUACAAUGCCACAAAGAAUGAUGCUACAGGAGUCACCCCAUAUCUCUUAAUCUUUGGGCGAGAACAAAGAUUACCCAUAGACCUGUGCUUUGGUGUAUCAGAGGAUGGAGAUAGCUAUGAAACUCAUCAGCAAUAUGUAUCCCGACUAAGAGAAAAGCUGCGGGAUGCUUAUCACUUAGCUACAUCUGCAGCUCGGAAGAACACAGACCACAACAAACAUCGAUAUGAUGCUAGGGUACGUCUGCAAGAGCUCCAGCUGGGGGACAGAGUCCUGCUGCGAAAUUUGGGUAUUGCUGGCAAACACAAGAUAGCUGAUAAAUGGAAGGCAAUACCUUAUUUGGUGAUGGAAAAGCUAGGAGACCUGCCGGUCUACAAGAUCAAACCUGAAGAGGGUCCAGGGCAGACAAAGACAGUGCAUAGAAACCUUUUGCUCCCUGUGGGGGAAUUGGUAGGCACCCCUUAUGAGAUGGGCCACAACAGGGCAACCAGGCAGAAUGAAGGUGCUGGACCAAAGCUGCCCUCCAACGUGGACAGCCAGCCCCCUGCAGCUAACCUACCCCUAUGCAGCACAUCCGAGAGUGAGUCUGAGGAGGAAGACACAACCAUGGUAUAUCCUGGGAUGGAGACAAGAUUUCAGUCUCGAUCAGCUGAAUCAAAAGAGAGCUCCUCCUCUUCCGCCCUAAACCCCAUGGCAGAAGUAUUUAGGCCCAUUCCUGACACCCCUGAGCCACUGGUGGGACCCCCAUGUGAUGACACACACAGGUUAUUGGACAGUGGAGACAUACAGGUGGAGGAUGUCCUAGGCACCUUGGACCCUCCACUGUUAGAACUAGAAAUGCAGGGGCCUAUGCCAGUAGCCAAGCGGCCCUCAAAGGAAACCUCUCCAUCUGUCGUUCAAGAGGCUGUGACCCCUACUACGGCAACAGAGAUUCUCAAUAGACGAGACAGGGUAAUAAGACCAGU
rnacentral:lncRNA from 1 species